rnacentral:misc_RNA from 1 species
AGCAGCCGCGGUAAUUCCAGCUCCAAUAGCGUAUAUUAAAGUUGUUGCAGUUAAAAGCUCGUAGUUGAAUUUCGAGAUCAAUAUGUUGGUCGUGCCUAUGGUACGUACUGAUUUUAUUGGUUUCUCCCUUCUGACGAACCAUGAUGUCAUUAAUUUGGUGUCGUGGAGAAUCAGGACUGUUACUUUGAAAAAAUUAGAGUGUUUAAAGCAAGCUAACGCUUGAAUACAUUAGCAUAGAAUAAUGAAAUAGGACGUUUGAUCCUAUUUUGUUGGUUUCUAGGAUCAACGUAAUGAUUAAUAGGGAUAGUUGGGGGCAUUAGUAUUCAAUUGUCAAAGGUGAAAUUCUUGGAUUUAUUGAAGACUAACUACUGCAAAAGCAUUUGUUAAGGAUGUUUUUAUUAAUCAAGAAUGAAAGUUAGGGAAUCGAAGACGAUCAGAUACCGUCGUAGUCUUAACCAUAAAUUAUGCCGACUAGGGAUCAGAUGAUGUUAAUUUUUUUAAUGACUCAUU